rnacentral:rRNA from 1 species
UGAACUGAAUGGCUAGUAUGUGUUCAGCCGAUAGGUGUACUCACAUGCUAUGUCUACUUACCAUGGGUUCUCAGUACGGAAUGCAAGUUUCGUGCUGGGGGCUGAGGGCUCCCUUCGGGUUUAGAGGAUGGUAAGGCAACGACGCGAUUCGACCCGUCUUGAAACACGGACCAAGGAGUCUAGCGUACCUGCGAGUCAAAGGGUUUUCAAACCUGAGGGCGCAGUGAAAGCAAAUUGUUAUGAAAACGUGCAGUUUGGAGCGGCAUGCGAUCGUUGAUUGCAAGUCCGACUUUGAGCAGGCACGCUAGGACCCGAAAGAUGGUGAACUAUGCUUGAGCAGGGCGAAGCCAGAGGAAACUCUGGUGGAGGCUCGAAGCGAUGCUGACGUGCAAAUCGCUCGUCAAACUUGAGUAUAGGGGCGAAAGACUAAUCGAACCAUCUAGUAGCUGGUUUCCUCCGAAGUUUCUCUCAGGAUAGCGGGCCAACUUUAUGUUGUCGUGUGCGGUAAAGCGAAUGAUUAGCGUAUUGGGGGCUUUUAAGCCUUCGAAUGAUUCUCAAACUUUAAAUGCGCACUGAUGUUGCUGCUUGGGUGAGCGGCAUCGUUAGAAACGUUUGGCUUUGUGGGCCAUUUUUGGUA